rnacentral:rRNA from 1 species
UGGCGGCGUGCUUAACACAUGCAAGUCGAGCGAUGAAGUUUCUUCGGAAAUGGAUUAGCGGCGAACGGGUGAGGGACACGUGAAGAAUCUGCCCUCCACUUUGGGAUAACACCGGGAAACCGGUGCUAAUACCGAAUAUUGAAACAUAAGUGGCAUCACUGAGUUUUGAAAGAAUUUCGGUGGAGGAUGACUUCGCGGCCUAUCAGCUAGUUGGUGAGGUAAUGGCUCACCAAGGCAACGACGGGUAGCCGGCCUGAGAGGGCGACCGGCCACACUGGGACUGAGACACGGCCCAGACUCCUACGGGAGGCAGCAGUGGGGAAUAUUGGGCAAUGGAGGAAACUCUGACCCAGCGACGCCGCGUGCGGGAUGAAGGCCUUCGGGUUGUAAACCGCUUUCAGUAGGGAAGAAGCGAAAGUGACGGUACCUACAAAAGAAGCACCGGCUAACUAUGUGCCAGCAGCCGCGGUAAUACAUAGGGUGCAAGCGUUGUCCGGAAUUAUUGGGCGUAAAGAGCUCGUAGGUCGUUUGUUACGUCGGAUGUGAAAACCUGAGGCUCAACCUCAGGCCUGCAUUCGAUACGGGCAAACUAGAGUUUGGUAGGGGAGACUGGAAUUCCUGGUGUAGCGGUGGAAUGCGCAGAUAUCAGGAGGAACACCAAUGGCGAAGGCAGGUCUCUGGGCCAAUACUGACACUGAGGAGCGAAAGUCUGGGGAGCAAACAGGAUUAGAUACCCUGGUAGUCCAGACCGUAAACGGUGGGCACUAGUUGUGGGAACCUUCCACGGUUUCUGCGACGCAGCUAACGCAUUAAGUGCCCCGCCUGGGGAGUAC